GAUGAACGCUGGCGGCGUGCCUAAUACAUGCAAGUCGAGCGAACAGACGAGGAGCUUGCUCCUCUGACGUUAGCGGCGGACGGGUGAGUAACACGUGGAUAACCUACCUAUAAGACUGGGAUAACUUCGGGAAACCGGAGCUAGUACCGGAUAAUAUAUUGAACCGCAUGGUUCAAUAGUGAAAGACGGUUUUGCUGUCACUUAUAGAUGGAUCCGCGCCGCAUUAGCUAGUUGGUAAGGUAACGGCUUACCAAGGCAACGAUGCGUAGCCGACCUGAGAGGGUGAUCGGCCACACUGGAACUGAGACACGGUCCAGACUCCUACGGGAGGCAGCAGUAGGGAAUCUUCCGCAAUGGGCGAAAGCCUGACGGAGCAACGCCGCGUGAGUGAUGAAGGUCUUCGGAUCGUAAAACUCUGUUAUUAGGGAAGAACAAAUGUGUAAGUAACUAUGCACGUCUUGACGGUACCUAAUCAGAAAGCCACGGCUAACUACGUG
rnacentral:rRNA from 1 species